UACGGAGGGGGCUAGCGUUGUUCGGAAUUACUGGGCGUAAAGCGCACGUAGGCGGCUUUGCAAGUUAGAGGUGAAAGCCCGGGGCUCAACUCCGGAAUUGCCUUUAAAACUGCAUCGCUAGAAUUGUGGAGAGGUAAGUGGAAUUCCGAGUGUAGAGGUGAAAUUUGUAGAUAUUCGGAAGAACACCAGUGGCGAAGGCGACUUACUGGACACAUAUUGACGCUGAGGUGCGAAAGCGUGGGGAGCAAACAGG
rnacentral:rRNA from 1 species